UGGGGAAUUUUGGACAAUGGGCGCAAGCCUGAUCCAGCCAUGCCGCGUGAGUGAAGAAGGCCUUCGGGUUGUAAAGCUCUUUCGGUGGGGACGAAAAGGUACGUGCUAAUACCACGGACUAAUGACGGUACCCGAAGAAGAAGCACCGGCUAACUACGUGCCAGCAGCCGCGGUAAUACGUAGGGUGCAGGCGUUAAUCGGAAUUACUGGGCGUAAAGCGUGCGCAGGCGGUUUGUUAAGACAGAUGUGAAAUCCCCGGGCUUAACCUGGGAACUGCGUUUGUAACUGGCAAGCUAGAGUGUGGCAGAGGGGGGUGGAAUUCCAAGUGUAGCAGUGAAAUGCGUAGAUAUUUGGAGGAACACCGAUGGCGAAGGCAGCCCCCUGGGCUAACACUGACGCUCAUGCACGAAAGCGUGGGGAGCAAACAGGAUUAGAUACCCUGGUAGUCCACGCCCUAAACUAUGUCAACUGGUUGUCGGGGAAGCAAUUCCUUGGUAACGAAGCUAACGCGUGAAGUUGACCGCCUGGGGAGUACGGCCGCAAGGUUA
rnacentral:rRNA from 1 species